rnacentral:rRNA from 1 species
CGCAAGCUCGCGAGAGUAAGCUAAUCUCUUAAAGCCGUUCUCAGUUCGGACUGUAGGCUGCAACUCGCCUACACGAAGUCGGAAUCGCUAGUAAUCGCGGAUCAGCAUGCCGCGGUGAAUACGUUCCCGGGCCUUGUACACACCGCCCGUCACACCAUGGGAGUUUGUAACGCCCAAAGUCGGUGGCCUAACCAUUAUGGAGGGAGCCGCCUAAGGCGGGACAGAUGACUGGGGUGAAGUCGUAACAAGGUAAC